rnacentral:rRNA from 1 species
UGGGGAAUCUUCCGCAAUGGACGAAAGUCUGACGGAGCAACGCCGCGUGUAUGAUGAAGGUCUUCGGAUUGUAAAGUACUGUCAUUGGGGAAGAACGGUUUUCUUGAAAAGAUUGAGAAGACAUGACGGUACCCAAGGAGGAAGCCCCGGCUAACUACGUGCCAGCAGCCGCGGUAAUACGUAGGGGGCAAGCGUUGUCCGGAAUUAUUGGGCGUAAAGGGCGCGUAGGCGGGCCUUUAAGUCCGGUGUGAAAGAUCAGGGCUCAACCCUGAGAGUGCAUCGGAAACUGGAGGCCUUGAGGACAGGAGAGGAAAGUGGAAUUCCACGUGUAGCGGUGAAAUGCGUAGAUAUGUGGAGGAACACCAGUGGCGAAGGCGACUUUCUGAACUGUAACUGACGCUGAGGCGCGAAAGCGUGGGGAGCAAACA